AAAUUCUCUAUUGUGCCUGCUUCAUUCGAGACAGUGCAAAAUGUUCCAAGGUAAGGAGGUGUAGUUGGGCGCUCCAACAUGAUUCUCCUACUGCAGCUUGGAGUUUGGGGAAAACUGUUGGUGAUUGCAAUUGGUGGAAUUAUAGUGGUGGUAUCAGUUUUGAUUGCUGCUUGCUUUCUGGGACCGGGAUGUUUAGGAUACAACUAUCUCUACAGAAACCAACUCAAAAUGAAGAAGAAGGCUCCUGGAGUCACAUUUGGAGGAGAUUUCCUUUUAUCUGAGAUAGGAAGUUCUUCAGUGGUUACAAUUCAUAACAUAAACAAUUCUUUCAGAAAAACUCCGGUGAGCUAUCGUCAGAGUGUAUGCAGUACCAUAUCAGAGACAAGCCUGACUUCAGGAUCAAAUACAUCAUACACUAGCAUUGGUUUCAUGCCUCUACCAACAAUUGUUUUCUUGUUGCAAAAUGUCACCAAUCCUGGAAAAUUGAUCAUAUUUCUGAAACAUUUGGAAGGACUUCCAGCUAAAGAUUUUCCUCAUCACACAGAAGUGAUAACAGAGUUGAAAAUUAAAUCAGGAACGUCAUAUCAUUGGUCAGCAAUAUCCAGAGCAAUACGCAAUACAAGAUCACCAGAAUAUGAUACUGAAUUCUCAUUACCUACCACAACUGCUGAUUUACAGAAAUGGUGUCUAACAAUAACAGCAUAUGAUAAAGACAGAUUCAAUGGCUACAGAGAGCUCGCUACAAUGGAUGUUUUCUUGAGAGACUUUAUUCCAGCUCUACAAACAGGAAAGAUUAUCAGGCAUGCAUCAGUAAUGACGGUUUACAAAAAGGAGUAUGGACACCUCCUGAUAGGUCUGAGCUACCUUCCAACUGCACAGAGGUUGACUAUCAGCCUCAUAAGAGCUGCCAAUUUGGUUUGCUUACAAAACACCUCAUCGGAGAAAGAUUUCAGACCACUGGCCAGAGUGUUUCUGCUGGAUGGCACUGGCAAAGUUAUCCAGAGGGAAAAAAGUGGACGAACUUGGAAUACCGGAAGCUGCCCGGAGAUGUUCUUUCAAACACAGUCAUCACCAUGCAAGUGACUGCCGCUCAGAUGAUCACUGCAACACUGCUCAUAGUUCUCUGCUACAAGGGAAAAAACGGUUUGAUUUCACCUCUAGAGAACGUCAGCAACAGCACAAUAGAGCACAUCUCCAGGGAUGGUUACGUCGGUCGAGUGGCCCUGGGAAAUUUGGUGACUUCUGUCAAAGAACGAAAACAUUGGCAAAUGAUGCAGGAGAGAACCAGACGAGUUGUUACAGCCUGGCAUGUUCUACAUUGAACUCAAACAAAUCUAAUACAAUUAUUUGCAUAAUAUUUUAUUUAUUUACAAAUCAAGAGCAGACUAGAGUACAAUAUUAAAUCUUUGGCUGGUUUUACCUUUA